rnacentral:lncRNA from 1 species
GUGAGCGGAAGCAACAGAGUCGAGGGAAAACUCAAGACUGAGAUGGGAUUCGGUGAGAGGAGGGGGUUCUGUGUGAGAGGAGGGCGUUCCGUGAGAGGAGGGGGUUCCGUGAGAGGAGGGGGUUCCGUGAGAGGAGGGGGUUCUGUGAGAGGAGGGGGUUCUGUGUGAGAGGAGGGGGUUCUGUGAGAGGAGGGGGUUCCGUGAGAGGAGGGGGUUCUGUGUGAGAAGAGGGGGUUCUGUGUGAGAGGAGGGGGUUCUGUGUGAGAGGAGGGGGUUCUGUGAGAGGAGGGGACUGUGUGACAGGAGGGGGUUCUCUGAGAGGAGGGGACUGUGUGAGAGGAGGGGGUUCUGUGAGAGGAGGGGGUUCUGUGAGAGGAGGGGGUUCUGUGAGAGAAGGGGACUGUGUGAGAGGAGGGGGUUCCGUGAGAGGAGGGGGUUCUGUGAGAGGAGGGGGUUCCGUGAGAGGAGGGGAUUGUGUGAGGGGGGGGGGUUCUGUGAGAGGAGGGGGUUCCGUGAGAGGAGGGGGUUCCUCCUGGGCUGGGCUUUGCAGGGUAGGAAGAAUCAUGAUGGAAAUACUAGGGCUUUCUAGGCAGAGGGACUGGGUUGAGCCAAAACUGGCAGGAGAGAAGGCAGAAGGGAGUUCCUGCGAGCAGCCAAUAGCCUAGGCUGGCCUGGGAAAGACUGGGAAUCUGGCGGAUGACAUGGAAAGAUGCACAGAUCUUUGUGAAACAAAGCGAUUAUAUAUAGACAGCACAUACAAAGGAUCUUGUGACUGCAAAGCCGUAGACGCAGGGGGGUGGCGCGGGCUGGAGGCAGCUCGGCAUAGGUUGAAAGCUCAUGUGGCACAGCCGAGUGACUUUCCCUUUCUUCCUAGUGCUUUUCUGUAGAUUUGCCUUCAGUCAACAAGUAUCAACUGAGUCCACACACCAGGCACGGUGCCAAACACGUUCA